GACGCAUAUUUUAGUCAAUAAUAUAACAGAGAUGCGUCUUUUCUCUGAGAAGACAGACGCACGCGUAUUCUCUCCUCCCAAGGAACAGCGUAUAAUCCCAUCAUAUUUUCCGAAAAAGAGAGCUAUCAACGCUCCCCUCCCCUUCUCUCUUCCUCUCUCCUCCACCACCCCCCAAAGUCUAAACCCUAGCUGACAAACUCCAACAACCCCUGCGCAACCCUUCGCCCCACCCCGAAAAUCUACCGAAUCCACUGUUACUGCAAAAACGAGCACUGUUUUGGUACGGAAAAGUCAGGAUGUGGUCAAAUCCGCCAUUGAUGGCUUCCAAGUUGGACGUUUUUCAGAAGUUUGGGGGUUCAAGUUUUGAAUUUCCCCCAUGUUUUCUUAAAUUUGGUUCAAAUUCGGACUUUGAAGUCCGAAUUUUGUCCUAUAAAUAGCCGAACGAAAAGGUUUGUAGAGGCAGAUUUAGGGUAUCGAGGAGAAAGAAAAAUCGAGAGAGGAAAAGAGAGUUUGAAGAAGAGUGAAAACAAAAAGGAAAUCAGAGAGAAAUUGAGUUCACGAAGUAAGAAAUUCGCCUUAAAAGUCUUAAAAUUGUUGUUUUCUUUUCUUUGGUCUAAGUUUGGAGUUCCGAAGUUGAAUUUGUAGUCAAUUUCCUCGACGGAGAGCCUCGGUUUUGCUGCCCUCGAAAAGAUUUUAAAAAUCUUCAAAACACAAGGUAUAUAUGUGUUAAGUCACCACAUACGAGGUUCAGACGCUCAGUUCCUGACCGUGCUUAGAGACCUACCAGAUUAUCAGCUGUAGCAGUGGUGAGUCCUCAUGUUUCGAGGAUAAUGGUUUAUUUCUCCCAGUUUACCUUAUCAGUUCAGUAUCUUUUAGUCAGUUGGAGUUAGUUGGGGUAUUUUCCCAUCAACUAAACAGUCAGUCAGUAGAGGUUUUUCAGACUAGUUCAGAUAGUUAGUCAGUUUUCAGAGUUUAUUACCAGUUGUUUUUAUCAGUAUUGUUAGUAUUAUUUUACGGACAUUAUAAAAGUUGCGAUUUAAACCUUAUGGCAUUUCAGUAACUUUCCGCACAUGUCUUGUGUUAUUAGUUUAUAUUUAGUGCUAGAGCAGGUGUAACGACCUAAAAAUUUAAUGAAAUAUGUGAAAUUUGUGAUUUUAUAUGAUUUGACUGUUUUACCCCUUUUCGUAGUUGCAUUAUGAUAUUUCUGGGGUGUGGGAGUGAUUGACAUGAUUUUUGAUGCAUUUUGAUAUCAUUUAUGCAAUAUUGUGAUUUUUGAUGGCUUUGAGAGCCUUAUUUUGGACUUAUGUGGAUAUCUUUUAAUUCGUGCGAUGAAUGACCAAACGGACUAUGCCAGCAGCUCUGAAAUAUCGAUUUUAGGCUAGGUAGACCUUUUGUUCAGGUUUUGGUGCACCUGAGCUCAUUUUAACCUAUUGAUCAAAAAGUUGGAAAAAUUGAAAAUAUGGGUGAGAGACCCACAUUUGGU